rnacentral:lncRNA from 1 species
GACUUCAGUUAGCCUUGCAUUGUCAAAAUUAUAAGUUCAUAGACUCGCAUCUUAUUGGUUAGUUGGGGGCCCACGUGUCAUUGUAAAAAUAAUUUUAUACUUUAGUUAUCUGAUUUAAAAUAUGUAUGAACAUAUUAAGCUUUUGCACCAUAUUUUUGGCGAGUUUCGGUAUUAUCAAAGAAAAAUGACGAAAAUGCCCAUGUGAGCCAAAAAAUAAUAUUUUAUUGUUUUGAUUUGGAAACGACUUAUG